ensembl:lincRNA
CUUAGCAAGCACUUUUAACAUCUCUGUUUCUGGUAUCAAAUAUUGAGAAUAUGAGAAGCUGCCUUUCCUUGUCCAGUACUCCCAGAGUGUCUGAAUCGGCAGCAGGUUCCAGUCCUGACCUGGGACAACUCCUAGAUUUUUCUAAGUUCCUUGAGAGUUGGGUUUGUGUCACUCACCCACGUGUAGCAAAGUCCUUGGCUCUUUACAGGCAGGUAGGAAAAGUGUGUUUGCCGAACUGCACUGAACUGCUGAACUGAGUCAGUCAAUUCAUCCACAAUGUGAAGCUACAGAGUGGCGGCCCAUGAGGCCAUCGUGGAAACGGGCAGCGAUCGAUGCAUCAUGAGACCGUUCAGCCACGUGACGUUUGCUCUUAGCUGUUUGUGUCAGAAGACCAGCAAUCGGUGCCUCUCUUCCACAAGUGCUGUGGUUUUUAAAAGUCAGAACAAUUCAGAACAGGAAUCACACAGAACAACAAUCUUCAGAGCUGUCCUUACUUGCAGGCAAACUAGAGAGCUGUCUGUGGGCCAAGACUUGAAGGGGCUGAGACUACAGUCUGCAGGUCCGUGCUGCCAAUCAUGCCUGAAAUUCCACCACAAGAGAUGAACGUUUUAAACAUUUGACCCCUAUAAAAAUGCAAACGCUGCUGGGAGGGAUUGUAAAUCAUUAAUACCACUCUGUGAGUUUAUCAGAUCACUCCUUGCUAUGUUGUAGGAGGGAGAAGGGCUGGAAAUGAGUAAAGAAUGCUUACCUGGCGUUGGGUGUGGCAGGGAAACUGGGAACAGCAUUCAGAUCGGAUCUUUUGAGGACAGGGCAAUUAGGCCAGUGAAAGUGUAAAGUGCAAAACCUCACUUGUUACAUAUAUACUUUGUGUGAGGAAAGCUAGUAGUAGCAGCGAACACUGUGAUAAGACCCAAAUAAUUGUUCUAUAGUUUCCACUUAUGCAGCGGUAAUUAAAAUCAUUUAUGCGAUUGGCCACAGACAGGUGGUCAGAGAAGUGGGUUUACACUCAAAGUUGCUCUAAUUCAACUGUUUGAAAUAGCAGGCCACCACAUCUGUUAAGAAAUAUAUAUAUAUGUUCUCCUGAAUUUUUAUGAGUUGGACUCAUCACAUCUCUGCUUUGGCUUAGGAAAAUAGUAAAAGCCAGAAUAUAUAACUGGUUUCCAUCCCCAAGAGUGGGUACACAUAUCAUAUUAUGUGAUCCUUGGAAAACGUCCCUUCCUCUGCAAAACCUAGCCACACUUGGAUGUUUUCUUAUGCUCAAAUUGACUCUUUUUGCCAACUGUUGGACUCCCUCUCACAGUACAGGUGGUCAAAUCAAAAUCAGGAAUGAACACAUGGCACGUUGCUUUUGACCUUAUCAUAUGUAAUAUUAAAAGAUAGCCUUUGUGUAUUUACUUUCCGUCCAGGCCACACACACAUACCAAGCAAUGUAUUCUUUGUUUAAAUAUAUAAGACAUGCUUAAAAUAUUCACUGGGAUUUUAUAUGGAAUAUUAGUUUUUCUUGGAACUUUCGGCCAAUGGCACAUUUUUGGAGAAAUUCUCAAACUUGCAUAAUUCAAAGUUGGCUGUCAUACCUGCAAUUGUCCAGACAAAAACAAAUGAUCCAAGAUUCCCAGUGCACAUACUAUGGAGUCAUGACAUAGAAAUAAAGAAGAUUACUUUGCAAGUAAAUUACCUUGUCCAUCUUUGUCUCCCCUUCAGGUUAGAACUCAAUGCUUGCAUAUACCAACCCCUCAGAAAUGUGUGCUAAAUGAAUGAACAGAAUCGAUGUAUGUCAGGGAGCCAUGACUAGGAUGCUGGUGGGUGUCAUCUAAUAACACUGAAGAAGGGAGGGCGUGUCGUGCCUAAGCAAUAAUUUGGGUAAAUAUAAUCACUGUCUUGAUUGUUGUGAAGGUGUUUUAGUGGAAGUGCACUUUUCUCUAAAGAUAGGGGACCAGAGACAAAAGUUUGAUCAGUCUUCAAGUAUGUAAUUAUGACACUGACAACUGUUUGAAUUAUAAAAGUAUCAAAAAGUGCUGCUCUAAAGGUUGCUGGCUCCUUAUCAUAAAAAAUAUUCCAUGACAGGUUUAAUGAUGAUUCCUCAGGUUUUUGGGAAACACUCGCUAAAUGGAGAGAAUGAUUGAUAAUGAUUGUUAGAAUCUACUUCAAUUCUAUUAUUACAUGAUGUAUCUGAACCCAUAUGUUAAUAUAUUAGUAUCUCAUUUCCUUCACAUAUGGCUGUUUCUAGUCAAUAUAUUUUCAUUCUUCACAUAAUGCGGUUGUGGUUGUGUUUCAUGUGGUUGUGUUUUGCUGUCUUUUGAUACAUCGUUUAUCCAUUGAAUAAGAUUUCGGUUUUCUCAUUUGACUUGUGAUAUCAAUCUCAUAAUUUUAAGGUCAUGCUCUGUCAAAGUAUUCUUGCAUGAUAAGUACAAGUGAAGACCUGGGUAGACCAAAUACCCUGAGUUUUAUGUGAAAUUAUCAGUGAGUUUCCUAGUUAUCACAGCUGAACAGUUAAGGCACUGCAGGUGUCUUUAUUUCAGUUGACCGUUUCUGACAAGACACACUUUGAAGAAUCAAAUUCCUCUACAUAAAACAAUAUUUAAUUUAUAAUUCCUUAUUAUAGCUAAAAGUAAAAAAACUGCACUAUCCAUAAUAUGCGAAAUGCAAACAUUCUGCAAUUUAUUAAGUACUUUAUUUUAGUUCUCAAGAUAAAUGGGGAUAAUACAUGAUAAGAUGCUGUCCUUCAAGAAGUUUAGUUUCUGGUUGGGGGAAGGAGAUAUGAUAAAUACAGAAAUGACUACUGGACACGAUGGGAAAUGUUAACUGACAGAGGUGGCACCAUGUAGUUGAUAUUUCAGUUCCGAAAAAGGAGUUGCUGAAGACUGGAAGCUUAGUGGAAAAGCUGGCUUCGAGAGGGGCUUGGCAGGAGUGCAGAAUGUGGAUAUACAGAUGACGAGGAAGAGCUUUGAACCAGCCACAGAAGGAAAACAAUGUAAGAAAUUGUGUCUUCCACUCCAUGAAGGGAAGUCAUGGGAAACAGUCUACAGUCUUCACAGCCUGAGGGGCUGUGGUAAUGAACUUGGGCCAUGUGUCAGCACAUGGGUGAGCCAGUAAAUGCUUAUGCAAGUAAAUGGACAGAGAUUCGAUUAUUUGAAGAUGACCUGGAAGAGAUGGGUACGAUUGAUUACAGCAGGAAAGGAGUGGAGUUAGUGAGACUCUAGGGAACACUCUCAUUAUUGAGCCAAAACAUAGCAUGCACCAAGGGCCUGAAACAAGAACGUGGUCUGCAGACAAGGAGAAGAUGAAUAAGAGAUACCAUGAAAUCAC